GACAAGGACUGGCCAGUGCAGUUCAAGC
rnacentral:piRNA from 1 species